rnacentral:rRNA from 1 species
CGGACGGGUGAGUAAUGUCUGGGAAACUGCCUGAUGGAGGGGGAUAACUACUGGAAACGGUAGCUAAUUCCGCAUAACGUCGCAAGACCAAAGAGGGGGACCUUAGGGCCUCUUGCCAUCGGAUGUGCCCAGAUGGGAUUAGCUAGUAGGUGGGGUAACGGCUCACCUAGGCGACGAUCCCUAGCUGGUCUGAGAGGAUGACCAGCCACACUGGAACUGAGACACGGUCCAG